GUGAAGACAGUAGUUUGUGUUGUUUGUGUUGUAUGUAAGGAGGUAGGGAGAGUGAAGACAGUAGUUUGUGUUGUAUGUAAGGAGGUAGGGAGAGUGAAGACAGUAGUUUGUGUUGUAUGUAAGGAGGUAGGGAGAGUGAAGACAGUAGUUUGUGUUGUUUGUAAGGAGGUAGGGAGAGUGAAGACAGUAGUUUGUGUUGUAUGUGUUGUAUGUAAGGAGGUAGGGAGAGUGAAGACAGUAGUUUGUGUUGUAUGUAAGGAGGUAGGGAGAUUGAAGACAGUAGUUUGUGUUGUUUGUGUUGUAUGUAAGGAGGUAGGGAGAGUGAAGACAGUAGUUUGUGUUGUAUGUAAGGAGGUAGGGAGAGUGAAGACAGUAGUUUGUGUUGUUUGUGUUGUAUGUAAGGAGGUAGGGAGAGUGAAGACAGUAGUUUGUGUUGUAUGUAAGGAGGUAGGGAGAGUGAAGACAGUAGUUUGUGUUGUUUGUGUUGUAUGUAAGGAGGUAGGGAGAGUGAAGACAGUAGUUUGUGUUGUUUGUGUUGUAAAUAAGGAGGUAGGGAGAGUGAAGACAGUAGUUUGUGUUGUAUCUAAGGAGGGAGGGAGAGUGAGAAAUGCUCCAUUCCUUCCAUGUCUUCCAGUAGUCUUACUGUAAAUGAGUUGAUUCAUGUAAUUGGUUCUGUAUACUUACAAUACAACAGUUCUGGACCUUCAACACCAGCCUGACGACACAGUAUCCUGGACCUCUCCAUGGCUAUAACACCAGCCUGACAGCACAGUAUCCUGGACCUCUCCAUGGCUAUAACACCAGCCUGACAGCACAGUAUCCUGGACCUCUCCAUGGCUAUAACACCAGCCUGACAGCACAGUAUCCUGGACCUCUCCAUGGCUAUAACACCAGCCUGACAGCACAGUAUCCUGGACCUCUCCAUGGCUAUAACACCAGC